rnacentral:rRNA from 1 species
UGGGGAAUCUUAGACAAUGGGGGCAACCCUGAUCUAGCCAUGCCGCGUGAGUGACGAAGGUCUUAGGAUCGUAAAGCUCUUUCGCCGGGGAAGAUAAUGACGGUACCCGGUAAAGAAGUCCCGGCUAACUCCGUGCCAGCAGCCGCGGUAAUACGUAGGGGGCGAGCGUUGUCCGGAAUUAUUGGGCGUAAAGAGCGUGUAGGCGGCCUGGUAAGUCUGCCGUGAAAACCUGGGGCUCAACCCUGGGCGUGCGGUGGAUACUGCUAGGCUAGAGGAUGGUAGAGGCGAGUGGAAUUCCCGGUGUAGCGGUGAAAUGCGCAGAUAUCGGGAGGAACACCAGUAGCGAAGGCGGCUCGCUGGGCCAUUCCUGACGCUGAGACGCGAAAGCGUGGGGAGCAAACAGGAUUAGAUACCCCCGUAGUCC